AAGAGACACUUUAAAGCUCAUAUGGUAGCAUCAAUAGAAAAAAAGGUUACUAAUAUAUCACUAGAGAGUCUUUUAGGCAGUAACUGUAAGACAGCAUAUAAAAUUGUUUUUAGUUAUUUGGCAGAUAUGGGUAUUUUAGAAUAGGAUUUAGUUGUUCAUGCCGUUCCACACUCCAACCCAGCAGGUGGCGAUAAUGCACCUUAAGUUAGCUUGCAAACAAUAAAUCAAUAAACAUCAUAAUAAAAAGAAGAGACACUAAUAUAUAGCACAAACUCAACAGACAUCCAAUAACAUAUACAAGAGACUGCAGAACUGUUUUGGGAGUGCUUGGGGAGAAAAACGAUUUAAUAAAUAGAGGAAAAAAAGGUCACUGUGUUCUGGCUGCCCUGCGAUGAAGAUCCUUAGUUUACAAUCUUUCCACUUCUUCCUGGUGGUGAGGAUGUAGGGGAGUAGCAGGGCCUGCAUAAGUUCCCAACCGAAUCUGAGCUGUAAAAAGAAGAACUCCCCCCAAAACCUUAGCAAAUGUAAACAAACAGAAGAAAGUGGCCAUAGGUGAAAAAUGGCAGUUGGAAAAAACAUUAACAGAAUGGUGUAACAGUCAGCCAAAAUGUAUCCCCUCUGACAUGCAUCGUUGUGUCCCUCACCCCAGCCUGCCUGACCAAAAACCCAGGACAGACGGAUGAACAACAUGACACCCCAGAUGUUCAGCAUGCAUCUCACCUGUGGAGAAGAAGAACAGUUUACUGUAAAUCUUCAGUGUGGGUUAUGAUUUAAUAUGGUGUCAAGUGAGAAAUGUGUACUUGAACUUAGAGAAGUUAUAACCAUAGUUUUUAUUUCAAUGAUGACCCAAACAACUAAAGCUUUUAAAAAACUAAACUACUUAAAAUGAAGCCUCUUCAUGCCAGAUCCAACUAUAUAGAGCGAUCUUGCUUCUAUAAAGCAGAGGGAGCGUAUCAUGACCCAGCGUAACUCACCAGGACACCCCUUAUCCAGCCAAACUUUACAGUUCCUUCCCCACUGUCAGUAGGAAGGACAGACUCA